UAAACUGAUGUCAGCUGGGUGUUUUUUGUGUUGCUGAACUAUUUAAUUCCAUUCUGUGCAGAAUAAAAACGCCAUCAGUUAGGCUGACCCGGAACUCCUGAGCCGUCUUCAUCCGCACAACGCAGAGCUUCAAUUGGUGAUUCAGGCCGUGCAAUCGGAGCACGGAAUGCUCAGAAAACGCCUUGCGAAGAUGACCUUCAAACAACUUCUUAAAUUCUCAGAAGGUUGAUUAUAGGAUUGCAUCCGAGUGUCGUUGUAACACUCAGACCACGCCUGCAGGUGGGAGAUAUGCAACUCCAACUGAACAUACCAAAACCACUCACACUCCAAGCCAUGACACUCAGAGCCUGAAUGAAUUGCAGACACGUCAUAGAACAGAAUAAAGUGUCCUUUCAAACAA